rnacentral:misc_RNA from 1 species
UUAAGUUCAGCGGGUAGUCCUACCUGAUUUGAGGUCAAAUUGUCAUAUAUUGUCCGAAUGAACAGACGGUUAUAAGCAGUGCUAAAAACGGCGAAUAGUCCACGGCGUAGAUAAUUAUCACACCAAUAGACAGGUUCACACAAGGCAACCAGCUAAUGUAUUUCAGGGGAGCUAAUUUCAUUACAGAAACCUGCAUACCC